rnacentral:rRNA from 1 species
GACGAACGCUAGCGGCAGGCCUAAUACAUGCAAGCCGAACGGUAAUCCUGACGGCAACGUCAGGACUAGAGUGGCGUAAGGGUGCGUAACACGUAUGCAAUCUGCCCUCAACUGGGGGGAUAGCUCCCGGAAACGGGAAUUAAUACCCCAUAACAUGCCAGCGAGGCAUCUUGCUGGCAUUAAAGCUACGGCGGUUGAGGAUGAGCAUGCGUCUGAUUAGCUAGUUGGUGAGGUAACGGCUCACCAAGGCGAUGAUCAGUAGGGGAACUGAGAGGUUGAUCCCCCCANACUGGCACUGAGACACGGGCCAGACUCCUACGGGAGCAGCAGUAGGGAAUAUUGGGACAAUGGGGUNCGAGCCUGAUCCAGCCAUGCCGCGUGCAGGGAAGAAGGGCCUUCUGGGGUUGUAAACUGGCUUUUAU